rnacentral:tRNA from 1 species
GGUGGCUUAGUGGUAGAGUGCUUGUCUUGCAUGCAUGAGGCUCUGGGUUCAAUUCCUCAGCACCA